UACGAAGGGGGCUAGCGUUGCUCGGAAUCACUGGGCGUAAAGGGUGCGUAGGCGGGUCUUUUAAGUCAGGGGUGAAAUCCUGGAGCUCAACUCCAGAACUGCCUUUGAUACUGAGGAUCUUGAGUACGGGAGAGGUGAGUGGAACUGCGAGUGUAGAGGUGAAAUUCGUAGAUAUUCGCAAAGAACACCAGUGGCGAAGGCGGCUCACUGGCCCGUAACUGACGCUGAGGCACGAAAGCGUGGGGAGCAACAGG
rnacentral:rRNA from 1 species